UGUUAUUGAUGACAAAUAUAUAUUCAAAAUCAUGUCUCUUAGAUUUUCUUUUGGGCUCAUAUUUAACAAUAUUUGAUUUGAUUUUCUUGUUGGGGUUAUAGAUUCUUCUUUAUAUGACUAAUAAUUAGUUUGUUUAUGAUACAGGUUAAAAUGCCGCUUGCCAAGACUGAGUUUUGAUUGGGCCUUGUCUUGAUGGAUUUACACGGUAUAAGAAACUUAAAUUACACAUGAGAAUUUGGCGGUGCUGCCCUUAUUUUUAAGGGACAGCCGAUCAAGCAUAAUCGGAAAUUUUGCUAAAAAAAUGUGAAGUUUUCUCUCUUAUUAUUAUUAUUUUUUUUUUUCCAAUGUUUGAGAGAACUUUAUACAGGUUAAAAAUGUUACCAUUCAUUUUAUUGAUUGUUUGAUUAGGAUGUUGGUAUUUUAAUUGUACGAGUAAUGUUAGUGAGAUGGAUAUGUUUCUUGUGAUAUGAAAGUUACAUUUGUUUUAUGGAAUGCUUUGUUUGUAAUA